rnacentral:rRNA from 1 species
GACGAACGCUGGCGGCGUGCCUAAUACAUGCAAGUUGAGCGCUGAAGGUUGGUACUUGUACCGACUGGAUGAGCAGCGAACGGGUGAGUAACGCGUGGGGAAUCUGCCUUUGAGCGGGGGACAACAUUUGGAAACGAAUGCUAAUACCGCAUAAAAACUUUAAACACAAGUUUUAAGUUUGAAAGAUGCAAUUGCAUCACUCAAAGAUGAUCCCGCGUUGUAUUAGCUAGUUGGUGAGGUAAAGGCUCACCAAGGCGAUGAUACAUAGCCGACCUGAGAGGGUGGUCGGCCACAUUGGGACGGGGACACGGCCCAAACUCCUACGGGAGGCAGCAGUAGGGAAUCUUCGGCAAUGGACGGAAGUCUGACCGAGCAACGCCGCGUGAGUGAAGAAGGUUUUCGGAUCGUAAAACUCUGUUGGUAGAGAAGAACGUUGGUGAGAGUGGAAAGCUCAUCAAGUGACGGUAACUACCCAGAAAGGGACGGCUAACUACGUG